CGGCCGUAGUGCGGUGUGGUGGAGCUGCUGUGCGGCGGAGCAGUUUCCUGACUGGCUGUAACUUCCUCAUACGUGAGAACCCAUGCCUUAGAACUCCAGUCCUGUGGAAGCAGCCACCUUCCAGGACAUUUUUCAGUGACAGGAGGAAGCUUCAUACUGCUCCAGCAGGACAAGCCUUCCGCCUGCGCCCCUUCCAUGUUCUGGUGGCUACAGGUGGGGGAUACGCAGGAUACAAAAAGUAUGAGGGCUACAAGUUGGAACAGCUGGAGAAGAAGGGCAUAGAGUUGCCUGUGAAGCUCGCAAGUGAGUGGGAGGUAAGAAGCUUGUGG
rnacentral:lncRNA from 1 species